rnacentral:piRNA from 1 species
UCCUCUAAAGACCCCAUUCAUGUAUGGAGU